UUCGAAUUGGAUUCGAAUCUGAUUCUUAAUUGAUCUAAUUUGAUUAGAUCAUAUUCUAAUAUGGGUUAGCCAAGAGUUGGCACCUAAUUGGCUUGGUUUGAGUCUAAUUGGAUUAGAUUUAAUAAAUCAUUCAAUCUAGACCGUUAGAUCUUGAUCUAUCGUUGGAUGAAGACAUAAUGGAGAGUUGGUUUAACCCAAUUGGAUUG
rnacentral:lncRNA from 1 species